AGGACAUAACAAAAAGAAAAAAGGGAGAUCCAGUAUUUGCCACAGAUCUGCAGUGACAAAAUGGGAUGGGGAAGGAGAUGAUGGCAGAAAGGCAAGAUGGAUGAAGUGCUCUGCAGCUCUGCCAGAGGAUGCAGCAGUGGGUCACUGACACACGCAGCUCACAAAGUAUCGCCCAUAAUGUGCAGCAGCUAGUUUUCUAAAAUUACUUCUGCAGCACCAGCCAGAUUUGCAGUCACUUUUCUGAAGAUUGGAACAUAAGUGUCACCAGGCUACCAGAGGGGCCUGGCAGUGGCAAUGACAGGAAAAGCAAUAAAAUGCUCCCGUGGCAGAUGUCUGUGUUCGGGUGUCCUGAGAGCAGAGCUGCUGCUUCUCCAGAGAAGAGGAAACUUCCCAGUGCAGGAACAGUCACUCUGCAGGAGGGGGUCUGAGGCGUCUGGACGCUGACACCAAAGGUUUUAAAGCCAUAAAUACUUCAGGGUGACCUAAUUGUGACUUUUCAGCACCUGAAGGAGCUGAUGAAAAAGAUGGAGAGAGGGUUUACAAGAGCCUGGAGGGAGAGGACAGGAGGGAAUGGCUUCACACUGCCAGAGG